AUUGAACGCUAGCGGGAGGCCUUACACAUGCAAGUCGAACGAGUGGCGGACGGGUGAGUAAUAUAUCGGAACGGGACCAGUAGCGGGGGAUAACUACUCGAAAGAGUGGCUAAUACCGCAUACAAUUGGAGCGGCCGAUAUCGGAUUUGCUAGUUGGUGGGGUAAAGGAUCACCAAGGCAACGAUCCGUAGCUGGUGUGAGAGGACGACCAGCCACACUGGGACUGAGACACGGCCCAGACUCCUACGGGAGGCAGCAGUGGGGAAUUUUGGACAAUGGGGGAAACCCUGAUCCAGCCAUCCCGCGUGUAUGAGAAGGCCUUCGGGUUGUAAAGUACUUUUGGCAGGGAAGCGUUAUCUGCAGAAUAAGCACCGGCUAACUACGUGCCAGCAGCCGCGGUAAUAC
rnacentral:rRNA from 1 species